UACGAAGGGUGCAAGCGUUAGUCGGAAUUACUGGGCGUAAAGCGUGCGCAGGCGGUUUUGUAAGUCUGUCGUGAAAGCCCCGGGCUCAACCUGGGAAUUGCGAUGGAGACUGCAAGGCUUGAAUCUGGCAGAGGGGGGUAGAAUUCCACGUGUAGCAGUGAAAUGCGUAGAGAUGUGGAGGAACACCGAUGGCGAAGGCAGCCCCCUGGGUCAAGAUUGACGCUCAUGCACGAAAGCGUGGGGAGCAAACAGG
rnacentral:rRNA from 1 species